rnacentral:rRNA from 1 species
GAUGAAUGCUGGCGGCGUGCCUAACACAUGCAAGUCGAGCGGCAGCGCGAGUAGUUUACUACUUGGCGGCGAGCGGCGGACGGCUGAGUAACGCGUGGGAACGUACCCCAAGUGAGGAAUAACCGCUCGAAAGGGUGGCUAAUGCCGCAUAUGGUCUUCGGAUUAAAGGAUUUAUCCGCUUUGGGAACGGCCUGCGUACGAUUAGAUAGUUGGUGAGGUAAAGGCUCACCAAGUCUACGAUCGUUAACUAGUCUGAGAGGAUGAUCAGUCAGACUGGAACUGAGACACGGUCCAGACUCCUACGGGAGGCUG